UUGUUCCUAUUCUUUGGGCGUUAUGAUAUGGUGUUUGCUGUACAGACAGACCAUUAAAUGUAUACUACUUGGUACACCAGAAUGGCUAGUCAAAGAGCCAAUAUUCACAGCAAAUUGUUAGUUCAGCAAGUCUUACUAAGACAACAAACAACAAGAAGAUGGAACGCACCUUAAUAUUUAGCGUGUCAAAGAACUUGGACAAUUGCGAUUCAAACUCCAAAGCAGAAUCUUCUAUUGGUGCUUCAGCUUGAACAGCAGAAUCUUCUUUGGGAGGUUCAUAUAUCAAGGACACAUAAGCAUCUGUCUCUUUGUCUUUACUAGAAUCAUCAAUUGGUGCUUCAUUCUGAACAGCUGCAUCGUCUUUCUCUUCAAGUGUAGGAGGUUCAUAUGUCAAAGAUGCAUAAGAAUCUGUUUCUUUGUCUUCUCUAGUAUCUUCUAUUGGUGCUUCAUCCUGAACAACUCCAUCAUCUUUCUCCUCAACUUUAGGAGGUUCAUAUUUCAAAGCUGCAUAAGCAUCCGUCUCUUUAUCAUUCCUAGAAUCUUCUAUUGGUGCUUCAUCCUGAACAGCUGCAUCAUCUUUCUCUUCAACUGUAGGAGGUUCAUAUGUCAAAGAUGCAUAAGAAUCUGUUUCUUUGUCUUCUCUAGUAUCUUCUAUUGGUGCUUCAUCCUGAACAACUCCAUCAUCUUUCUCCUCAACUUUAGGAGGUUCAUAUUUCAAAGCUGCAUAAGCAUCCGUCUCUUUAUCAUUCCUAGAAUCUUCUAUUGGUGCUUCAUCCUGAACAACUCCAUCAUCUUUCUCCUCAACUUUAGGAGGUUCAUAUUUCAAAGCUGCAUAAGCAUCCGUCUCUUUAUCAUUCCUAGAAUCUUCUAUUGGUGCUUCAUCCUGAACAACUCCAUCAUCUUUCUCCUCAACUUUAGGAGGUUCAUAUUUCAAAGCUGCAUAAGCAUCCGUCUCUUUAUCAUUCCUAGAAUCUUCUAUUGGUGCUUCAUCCUGAACAGCUGCAUCAUCUUUCUCUUCAACUGUAGGAGGUUCAUAUGUCAAAGAUGCAUAAGAAUCUGUUUCUUUGUCUUUCCCAGAAUCUUCUAUUGGUGCUCCAUUCUGAACAGUUCCAUCAUCUUUUUCUUCAACUUUAGGAGGUUCAUAUAUCAAAGAUGCAUAAGGAUCUGUCUCUUUGUCUUUGCUAGAAUCUUCAAUUGGUGCUUCAUUCUGAACAGCUCCAUCAUCUUUCUCUUCAACUUUAGGAGGUUCGUCUAUCAAAGACGCAUAAGCAUCCGUCUCUUUGUCUUUACUAGAGUCUUCAAUUGGUGCUCCAUUCUGAACAGCUUCAUCGUCUUUCUCUUCGACUUUGGGAGGUUCGUAUAUCAAAGAUGCAUAAGCAUCCGUGUCUGCGGCAGUCCUAGAAUCUUCUACUGGUGCUCCAUUCUUAACAGCUCCAUCGUCUUUCUCUUCAACCGUAGGAGGUACAUAUAACUCAUAAGCCUCUUCCUCGGAUUUUGAUCUAACAGCUCCAUCAUCUUUCACUUCAACCGUAGGUGGUACAUAUAACUCAUUAGCCUCUUCCUCUGAUUUUGAUCUAACAGCUCCAUCAUCUUUCUCUUCAACCAUACUAACAGCUCCAUCAUCUUUCUCCUCAACCGUACUAACAGCUCCAUCAUCUUUCUCCUCAACCGUAGGAGGUACAUAUAACUCAUAAGCCUCUGUCUCUGCUUUUGUUCUAACAGCUGAGCCUUUACGGUAAAGUAAUCCUGAAG
rnacentral:lncRNA from 1 species